rnacentral:lncRNA from 1 species
AUUUUCCUCAAGGCAAUUAUUCAAACAUGCUCCUUAUAUUAAGGAUUCUGUAACCACACUUUUGUAAAUGCCCUCUGUGUAACUUUUUCCUAUUACGCAGUUCUUUUUCAUUUGAUCUUCUGCUGGUGUAGGGGCCAAUAGACUUGUGAAUAUUCUCUGGAUGUGUCCAUGUCUAAGUGUAUAUAUAUAUAUAUCAAUGUAUAUAUUUUUUUCCAGCUAAUACCUCAGAUGUGUGAUUGUUUAAUAAGUACCAUACUGUUUGCACAGAGCAGGGCUUCCAUUGGUGGGCUCUUACUUUAAAAAUUGACCUUCAGUCAGUAGAAUCUCAUCAGGGUGAAAUGUUUUCAGUUGCUCUCCAUGGUUUAGUGCAGAUUCUUACCACAAGGCCCUGUGUCAUGUAAAACUGUAUUUCUCUGAGCCUCAUUCAGAAGUGGCUCUUGGAAUGACCUGGUGUAGUAAGUUCUUAAAACUCGGGGUGACUGGUUAUCGAGCUGUCCAGUAACCGCAUAGAGGCGACGAACACCUGAUACAAGUGCUGGCAAGUCUCGCUGGUUUCUCUGUAUGGUUAUGCAGUACUGUAACAUAGGAAGGCACUUUUGAGUGACACUGUAGCGCUUUCAUCAGUACCUUCCGAAUGAAUUGUUUGUGACAUGGGUGUCUACAGUAAGACAGAAACAAUUGGUGUCUGUAAUUUAUUUGCAUUAAAAAGUGCUUCAUAUUUGCUUUACUUCUGGUCUUUGGAUUGCUAUGUGAGACUUUCCAUUUAAAGUUUUAGGGUGUUUUUUGUUUGUUUGUUUGUUUGUUUGUUUUUAAGCUGCAGGUAAUUUCCACGGUGUGAUAUGGGUUUUCAGGUCUGGUGAGGUGUUCAUGGAAGCCUGUGUACUUAGAAUGAAGUGCUGCUGGUGAAGGAGAGCUCCCUCGUGCAUUCAAGACCUCAGAAUUAGGUUUAAAAAUGAAAGGUCUGAUUUGUAAAAAUGUAAUGUUAUAUCAGACUUAUAUAAGGUUUCAUAUGAGAAUUCUUAAAGCUGCUUUUGAUUUCUAACGAAUGUUCUAAUGAAUGAUUUACAAAUUUUUGUCUUUCAGUCUCUGUAAUUUAUCUCAACAUAUGAAUAAAAAGAGGGGGUGUUCUCACC